GAACGCUAGCGGGAGGCCUAACACAUGCAAGCCGAGCGGUAUUGUUCUUCGGAAAUGAGAGAGCGGCGUACGGGUGCGGAACACGUGUGCAACCUGCCUUUAUCUGGGGGAUAGCCUUUCGAAAGGAAGAUUAAUACUCCAUAAUAUAUUGAACGGCAUCGUUUAAUAUUGAAAGCUCCGGCGGAUAGAGAUGGGCACGCGCAAGAUUAGCUAGUUGGUGAGGUAACGGCUCACCAAGGCAAUGAUCUUUAGGGGUCCUGAGAGGGAGAUCCCCCACACUGGUACUGAGACACGGACCAGACUCCUACGGGAGGCAGCAGUGAGGAAUAUUGGACAAUGGGCGCAAGCCUGAUCCAGCCAUGCCGCGUGCAGGAUGACGGUCCUAUGGAUUGUAAACUGCUUUUGUACAGGAAGAAACACUCCCUCGUGAGGGAGCUUGACGGUACUGUAAGAAUAAGGAUCGGCUAACUCCGUG
rnacentral:rRNA from 1 species